rnacentral:tRNA from 1 species
GUCUGGGUGGCUCAGUUGGUUAAGCAUCUGACUUUGGCUCAGAUCAUGACCUCACAGUUCAUGGGUUCGAGCCCCAGGUCAGGCU